CCUGAGAAACCCAAAAGAUCGAAUGGGGAGAUUCAUCGUCAGCUCAUUUUGUAUAUGUAUGAGUUACGAUGCGGGUUACUACUUGUAGUAUUGCCUGCACGUUCUUUUAUAUUUAGUUGCAAGAUGUUGUCGGCGUGCACUUCUCCCCUAGUAGGACGUCGCGACCCGUUGAGUGUCGGUCUACGGCCCAAGUGGGAGCCUUUAAUGUUUUUAUAAUAUUAAAGACCCUUGGUGUUUAUUUUGACCGGCUACUCGGCGGUACUCGUACGGUAUUAAGCCGCAUAUUAUGCGUCCAUGCCCGUCGCAAGCGAGGCCAAUUUCUAGUAGUACGGACCUAGUGCCGUCGCUGGUAUUGGCCAGCUGUUGGUUGUACGGUGUUCUAGGACUGGCUAAAUUUUACCGGUCGGCGAUGCUACUGCUUUGGGUACUUUCAG
rnacentral:rRNA from 1 species